UUGUUCGCAAUGGGCGCAAGCCUGACGACGCAACGCCGCGUGGAGGACGAAGAUCUUCGGGUCGUAAACUCCUGUCGAGCGGGAAGAAACCCGCGGGGAUGAAUAAUCCUCGUGGCUGACGGUACCGCUAAAGGAAGCCCCGGCUAACUCCGUGCCAGCAGCCGCGGUAAUACGGAGGGGGCGAGUGUUGUUCGGAAUUACUGGGCGUAAAGGGCGCGCAGGCGGCUUGGCAAGUCGAGUGUGAAAUCCCUUGGCUUAACUGAGGAAUGGCGCUCGAAACUACCUCGCUGGAGGGCGGGAGAGGGAAGUGGAACUCUCGGUGUAGGGGUGAAAUCUGUAGAUAUCGAGAGGAACACCGGUGGCGAAGGCGGCUUCCUGGCCCGUACCUGACGCUGAGGCGCGAAAGCGUGGGGAGCAAAC
rnacentral:rRNA from 1 species